GCCCCCAGACUAUGUAAAAGAAUUGAGGCCGGGGGGGGGGGGGGUCUCGCCCAUAGUGGUUCCCCCCGCCUUUGGUGAUUGACCAAACAAAUAGGCCUAGAUUUAUGCCCCUUAAUGAAUCGAAUGGUCCUUCGACCUUCAUUUGAUUCCGACGGCCGGCAUAGAUUUCAUGAGACCCGCCCAGCCCACUAUUACUUCGAAAAAAGCCCUGCCCUUUUCCUUUACUACUAGGAGAGUAAGCAACCUCUAUUAGCAUAAGGGACCCAAAGAAUUUCU
rnacentral:lncRNA from 1 species